UGGGGAAUUUUGGACAAUGGGCGAAAGCCUGAUCCAGCAAUGCCGCGUGUGUGAAGAAGGCCUUCGGGUUGUAAAGCACUUUUGUCCGGAAAGAAAUCCUUGGCUCUAAUACAGUCGGGGGAUGACGGUACCGGAAGAAUAAGCACCGGCUAACUACGUGCCAGCAGCCGCGGUAAUACGUAGGGUGCAAGCGUUAAUCGGAAUUACUGGGCGUAAAGCGUGCGCAGGCGGUUUGCUAAGACCGAUGUGAAAUCCCCGGGCUCAACCUGGGAACUGCAUUGGUGACUGGCAGGCUAGAGUAUGGCAGAGGGGGGUAGAAUUCCACGUGUAGCAGUGAAAUGCGUAGAGAUGUGGAGGAAUACCGAUGGCGAAGGCAGUCCCCUGGGCCUGCACUGACGCUCAUGCACGAAAGCGUGGGGAGCAAACAGGAUUAGAUACCCUGGUAGUCCACGCCCUAAACGAUGUCAACUGGUUGUUGGGAAGGUUCCUUCUCAGUAACGUAGCUAACGCGUGAAGUUGACCGCCUGGGGAGUACGGCCGCAAGGUUGAAACUCAAAUGAAUUGACGGGGU
rnacentral:rRNA from 1 species